GACGAACCGUCCAAACGUUAUUCGGAAUCACUGGGCUUAAAGGGUGCGUAGGCGGAGAGGCAAGUCAGAGGUGAAAGCCCACGGCUCAACCGUGGAAGUGCCCCUGAAACGGCCUCUCUCGAGGGAGAUAGGGGCGUGCGGAACUCAGAGUGGAGCGGUGAAAUGCGUAGAUAUUCUGAGGAACACCGGUGGCGAAAGCGGCACGCGGGGUCUUUUCUGACGAUGAGGCACGAAAGCUAGGGGAGCAAACCGG
rnacentral:rRNA from 1 species